CUUACGUUUGCCCUCCCAGCAUUCUACCUGGUUUCUUAGAGUAUUUUUUAUUCAGAAAAUUUCUCAAAGUUCCUUCCUGCUCCCUCGAGAUGUUUGUGCAUAUUGUAUAUGUAAGACAACCUACACUUGGGCUCCAAUUCAUCAUUCGUGGCAUUCAUGUGAUGUAUAACAGAGGAUCACAUCAGCCUUUGCAGAAUUGGAAGGAUUUGAAGGGACUGCUUUGAAACAUAUUGAAGGGGAAAUAGUGAAGCACAGCAAGUCUGCAGCUCUCAGACAGCAAGCUAAUAACAGGUUACUCUUCUGAGGUCAGAGAUACCCAAGCCAUCAAAAUGCAAGGUCUGUAACUAUCAUCUCUGGGAAUGCCGACAUCAGGAAGUGAUCUACAGUUUUGUUUUCCAGAUAUGCCACCAAUGAAGGAACAGCUAAUUUAUCAAUUGUAGCUUGCUCCUGGUAGCUUCAAAUUCAUCGCAAUGCUGCCGGAGCAUUUUAUUUUCAAAGGCUUACUAUCUGGUUGGAGUGAAGGUAUCACCUUGCAUAGACAAGGGUGAAUGGGAGUCAGAAGGACUGUUUGGGUCAUGUUCUGUUCCAAUGCCAGAUCCCAAAGUGGAUGGCCUGGCAAGAUAAGAAAGAAGGGAAAGUUGGGGUGAUGCUGUGUUUAGUA